rnacentral:rRNA from 1 species
CGGUGGAGUAUGUUGGUUUAAUUCGAUGCAACGCGAAGAACCUUACCUGGUCUUGACAUCCCGGAGACCCUUAGGAAACUAGGGGGUGCUUCCAUCUGGAAGAAUCUGGAGACAGGUGCUGCAUGGCUGUCGUCAGCUCGUGUCGUGAGAUGUUGGGUUAAGUCCCGCAACGAGCGCAACCCUUGCCUUUAGUUGCCAGCAGUUCGGCUGGGCACUCUAAAGGGACUGCCGGUGUUAAACCGGAGGAAGGUGGGGAUGACGUCAAGUCCUCAUGGCCUUUAUGACCAGGGCUACACACGUACUACAAUGGCCGAUACAAAGGGCAGCGACACUGCGAGGUGAAGCCAAUCCCGUAAAAUCGGUCUCAGUCCGGAUUGGAGUCUGCAACUCGACUCCAUGAAGUUGGAAUCGCUAGUAAUCGUGGAUCAGCAUGCCACGGUGAAUACGUUCCCGGGCCUU